rnacentral:rRNA from 1 species
GACGAACGCUGGCGGCGUGCUUAACACAUGCAAGUCGAACGGAAAGGCCCUGCUUUUGUGGGGUGCUCGAGUGGCGAACGGGUGAGUAACACGUGAGUAACCUGCCCUUGACUUUGGGAUAACUUCAGGAAACUGGGGCUAAUACCGGAUAGGAGCUCCUGCUGCAUGGUGGGGGUUGGAAAGUUUCGGCGGUUGGGGAUGGACUCGCGGCUUAUCAGCUUGUUGGUGGGGUAGUGGCUUACCAAGGCUUUGACGGGUAGCCGGCCUGUGAGGGUGACCGGCCACAUUGGGUCUGAGAUACGGCCCAGACUCGUACGGGAGGCAGGAGUGAGUAAUGUUGCACAAUGGGCGGAAGCCUGAUGCAGCAACGCCGCGUGCGGGAUGACGGCCUUCGGGUUGUAAGCCGCUUUCGCCUGUGACGAAGCGUGAGUGACGGUAAUGGGGAAAGAAGCACCGGCUAACUACGU